UACAUAGGGGGCAAGCGUUAUCCGGAAUUAUUGGGCGUAAAGAGUGCGUAGGCGGUUUAUUAAGUCUGACGUAAAAUCCCACAGCUUAACUGUGGAGGGUCGUUGGAAACUGGUAAACUUGAGUACAGUAGAGGUAAGUGGAAUUCCAAGUGGAGCGGUGGAAUGCGUAGAUAUUUGGAGGAACACCAGUGGCGAAGGCGGCUUACUGGGCUGGAACUGACGCUGAGGCACGAAAGCGUGGGGAGCAAACAGGAUUAGAUACCCUGGUAGUCCACGCCGUAAACGUUGAGCACUAAGUGUCGGAUGUAAUUUCGGCGCUGCAGUUAACACAUUAAGUGCUCCGCCUGGGGAGUACGGUCGCAAGACUGAA
rnacentral:rRNA from 1 species